ACAUUAAACCAUCUUAAACCUGUCACUGCUGAAGCGUUUGCAUAGAGAGAGUGUUUUACAUGAGCGACACACGCUUCAGUGCUCUGCAUGUGUUUAUAACUCUGUCAAACAUCAAACAUGAUCAACAACUGUUUUUCACUAGAACUGAACCUACAACCAACAAAAAUGACUUUCAGCACCAUAUUGAUCUGGACGCUGGCAGUAUUAUGUCGAGAAUCUGUUGGUCAGGUGACAGUGACUCAAACUCCCUCAGAGCUGCUCUCUCAAACUGGACAAUCAGUCACUGUAAACUGUACAUUUAAUAAUGAUCCAAUUUCCUGGUGUAGUGGACACUGUCUUAGCUGGUACUUACAGAAACCCGGAGAAGCUCCUAAACUCCUGAUUUAUUUAGCAAGCAGCCUCCAGUCAGGAACUCCAUCUAGAUUCAGUGGCAGUGGAUCUAACAGUGAUUUCACUCUGACCAUCAGUGGAGUCCAGACUGAAGAUGCUGGACAUUAUUACUGUCAGAGUUAUCACAGUGGUGGUGUGUUCAUACAGUGAUAAAGAGUCGUACAAAAACCUCCGUCAGUCAGAGUCACAGUGACUGAACUGAUACUGCAGCUGCUCAAAGGAGGAUCUGAAACAACAUCGUCACACAAAC